CAAUAGCGUAUAUUUAAGUUGUUGCAGUCAAAAAGCUCGUAGUCGGAUUUUGGCUGAGAACGAUCGGUCCGCCGUUAGGUGUGCACUGAUUGGUCUCAGCUUCCUGGUGAGGAGGUGUGCUUCACGGCCACUUAGUCACCGUGGUUACUUUGAAAAAAUUAGAGUGUUCAAAGCGGGCUUACGCUUGAAUAUAUUAGCAUGGAAUAACACCAUAGGACUCCUGUCCUAUUUCGUUGGUCACGGGACGGGAGUAAUGAUUAAGAGGAACAGUUGGGGGCAUUCGUAUUUCAUUGUCAGAGGUGAAAUUCUUGGAUUUAUGAAAGACGAACUUCUGCGAAAGCAUUUGCCAAGGAUGUUUUCAUUGA
rnacentral:rRNA from 1 species